UCACAAAAUGACGAUGAACGAUUACUGG
rnacentral:sRNA from 1 species